UACGUAGGGUGCAAGCGUUAAUCGGAAUUACUGGGCGUAAAGCGUGCGCAGGCGGUUGUGCAAGACAGAUGUGAAAUCCCCGGGCUUAACCUGGGAAUUGCAUUUGUGACUGCACGGCUAGAGUGUGUCAGAGGGGGGUAGAAUUCCACGUGUAGCAGUGAAAUGCGUAGAUAUGUGGAGGAAUACCGAUGGCGAAGGCAGACCCCUGGGAUAACACUGACGCUCAUGCACGAAAGCGUGGGGAGCAAACAGG
rnacentral:rRNA from 1 species